UACGUAGGGGGCAAGCGUUGUCCGGAAUUAUUGGGCGUAAAGCGCGUGUAGGCGGUCCGGUAAGUCCGCUGUGAAAGUCGGGGGCUCAACCCUCGGAUGCCGGUGGAUACUGUCGGGCUUGAGUACGGAAGAGGCGAGUGGAAUUCCUGGUGUAGCGGUGAAAUGCGCAGAUAUCAGGAGGAACACCGAUUGCGAAGGCAGCUCGCUGGGACGUUACUGACGCUGAGACGCGAAAGCGUGGGGAGCAAACAGG
rnacentral:rRNA from 1 species